GCCGAUGUGGCGGAAUUGGCAGACGCACUUGACUCAAAAUCAAGCGGUUAACAGCCGUGCCGGUUCGAGUCCGGCCAUCGGCA
rnacentral:tRNA from 4 species